rnacentral:snRNA from 1 species
GGAUGUGAGGGCGAUCUGGCUGCGACAUCUGUCACCCCGUUGAUCGCCAGGGUUGAUUCGGCUGAUCUGGCUGGCUAGGCGGGUGUCCCCGUCCUCCCUCAUCGCUCCAUGUGCGUCCCUCCCGAAGCUGCGUGAAGAGGACGACCUUCCCCGCUAGAGGAGGACCGGUCUUCGGUCAAGGAAGGGUAUAUGAGUAGCUGCGCUCCCCUGCUAGAACCUCCAAACAAGCUCUCAAAUAAAUAAAAUAAAUCUUAAAAGAAAAAAAGAGACAACAUAAAAUAUUUGUUUAAAAAAAUAAAAUGGAUUU